UACGUAGGCAGCAAGCGUUAUCCGGAUUUACUGGGCGUAAAGCGUGUGCAGGCGGGUGGACAAGUGGUGUAUGAAAUCGCCAGGCUAAACCUGGCGGGGUUAUGCCAGACUGUCCGUCUGGAGUGCGAGAGAGGGGCGUGGAAUUCCGGGUGUAGUGGUGAAAUGCGUAGAGAUCCGGAGGAACCCCAGAGGCGAAGGCGGCGCCCUGGCUCGCAACUGACGCUCAGACACGACAGCAUGGGGAGCGAACGGG
rnacentral:rRNA from 1 species